GAGCCUUGAUGUGUAGGAUAGGUGGGAGGCUUUGAAGUGUGGACGCCAGUCUGCAUGGAGCCGACCUUGAAAUACCACCCUUUAAUGUUUGAUGUUCUAACGUGGACCCGUAAUCCGGGUUGCGGACAGUGUCUGGUGGGUAGUUUGACUGGGGCGGUCUCCUCCUAAAGAGUAACGGAGGAGCACGAAGGUUGGCUAAUCCUGGUCGGACAUCAGGAGGUUAGUGCAAUGGCAUAAGCCAGCUUGACUGCGAGCGUGACGGCGCGAGCAGGUGCGAAAGCAGGUCAUAGUGAUCCGGUGGUUCUGAAUGGAAGGGCCAUCGCUCAACGGAUAAAAGGUACUCCGGGGAUAACAGGCUGAUACCGCCCAAGAGUUCAUAUCGACGGCGGUGUUUGGCACCUCGAUGUCGGCUCAUCACAUCCUGGGGCUGAAGUAGGUCCCAAGGGUAUGGCUGUUCGCCAUUUAAAGUGGUACGCGAGCUGGGUUUAGAACGUCGUGAGACAGUUCGGUCCCUAUCUGCCGUGGGCGCUGGAGAACUGAGGGGGGCUGCUCCUAGUACGAGAGGACCGGAGUGGACGCAUCACUGGUGUUCGGGUUGUCAUGCCAAUGGCACUGCCCGGUAGCUAAAUGCGGAAGAGAUAAGUGCUGAAAGCAUCUAAGCACGAAACUUGCCCCGA
rnacentral:rRNA from 2 species